AGAAAUUAAGAACAUAUUUGGGGAUUGUCGCUCAUGAUAAGGUUGACGUGACAUAUGACACCUGGAAGGAAGUCCCUACUGCUCAGAAGGAUUUGAUAUGGGAGGAUAUUCAGGCGGAAUUUCAAAUCCCUGAAGCUUUUGACAGUAGGACAAAGAAGAAAAUUCUUCAGAUUGUCGGCGAGCGCUCGAGGCAGUUUAAAUCUGACUUGACUAGGAAAUGGGCACUUGCAGUCGACAAGGACGGUGUGGACGAAAUUGUCUGUGAAAAAUAUGGCAUUAGCAAGCAGAAAUGAACUCAGUUUUAUCAGACCCGUAGAGACCCCUCAUGGGAGAUGUACGGAAAAAGGCACAGGCCUCCCAGAAGCAAAACACUGCCCCCACGUAUUGUCUCGUGGGGGUUAUGAAUAUUUAGAAGAAAAGCUCAUGGUUGAGAAGACAAAGAAAAGACUGGAAGAAGUUGCCCAGUCUGGAAGCACUGAGGGCAUCAUUGACCCUCCAUCUCCCAUCAGACACCACGUGAAAUGGAAGAUGGCCCGCACGAAGAAAACUGGACAGAUGACGUCUGAGGCAGCAAAGGAAAUAGCUGACAGGAUUGACUCUUUGGACGAGCAGGCGUCACAGGGAUCGUUCGUCCCCCAUGGACGUCAGGAUAUCCUGACUUCUGCCAAUGGGCGACCAGAGCACCCUGGCCGUCUUCGUGCUGUUGGAACCAGUGUCAUCAUAAAGCAAUACUUUGGAUCAGCUUCACGAACAUCCCGCAGUUCUUCCUCCAUGCCUCUUGAAGACCUAGAACAGCUGACCCAACAAAUCAGAGACCAACUGGAGGAGUCAAUCACAGAAAAAGUGACUCAAAAGAUGAUGAAAUCCUUCAGCCAGAUGCAGUCUCAGUUUCAGUCUCAGAUGCAAUCAUAGGGAAUUGCACUACCUCCAGAGCCAGAGGUUGGUCCCUCAGGUCCUCGUGUCAGCACAAGGGAGAGUUGUGUUGCUCCCUCAGGGAACGAUCCAGGGACGGGUGACUCAGACAAAUGCGGCCUAUAUAUUGAAGAAAAUCCUUCUCGCUUGGUUGCCCUAGGAAGACUUUAACAGGGAUCCACAACAGUUCACAAUAUCCCUUUGUUGCAUGGCCAAGUCAAGGUUGGUGUUGAGGAGGUUAAAGAUACAGAGGCUCUCGUUCCUGUACCCACUGACGAGGUUACCUUAGUGGGGCAGGCACUUAACACUUUCCUUGCUUGGCCAACACAUCUUGUGAAGCGUUUAUCAGAACAGGCAGCUGUGUCUCCAGCAAAACCUCCAGAAAGCCCGGAUGAAGAGGUCGAUGAUCCCCUGUACCUGAUGACAUUGACCAUCUCAUAACUGUUUUUGAAGCCGCUCCAGGUUAUGUGGGAUGCUACCAUAUUCGGGGUGUUUAAUCAAAACUUCCCGUUGUAUAUAAAGCACGAAGAUCUCUCUGAAAUUACACAUGGUGGUCAAUGUCUCAGCA